rnacentral:lncRNA from 1 species
GAGUUCCCGUCGUGGCUCAGCGGAAACGAAUCUGACUAGUAUCUAUGAGGACGCAGGUUUAAGCCCUGGCCUGGCUCAGUGGGUUAAGGAUCCGGUGUUGCUGUGGCUGUGUUAUAGGCCUGCAGCUACAGCUGCAGUUUGAUCCUUAGCCUGGGAACCUCUAUAUGCCGAGGGUGCGGCCCUAAAAAGACAAAAAACAAAAAAACAAAAAAAAGGAACUGUAUUGUCUCCCAGUUCUGGAGGCUGGAGGUCUGAGAUCAAGGUGUUGGCAGGGUCAGUGUCUUCUGAGGGCCUGUUCCGGUGCAUGUCUGUGUCCUGAUUUCCUCUUUUUAUAAGGACACCAGUCACACUGGAUCAGUACCCAUCCUACUCCAGAACGACCGCAUCUUUACUAUUACACCUGCCAGGACCCUCUUUCCAAAUCGGGUCACACAGUCCACGGUACCGAGGGUUAGGAUUCCAACAUAGACAUCUGGGGGGACACAUCUGCCUUUCGGGGGACACAAGUCAACCCCUAAGAGAUGAUUUCGAAGUGGCAGGAAAGCAUGGGGUCGGAAGCUGAGCAUCUCAUCCCCUUUCCAGAGCCGCCCCCCCGCCCUGAAAAAUCAGGACCUGCGUUUCCUCGGGUCUUUCUGAGCAGACCCAAGGUAGGCUGAGGUUCUGAUGCUGUGGGAGUCGAGGGAGUGAGUGGACAACGCCAGGCACCGGCCUGAAAGCAGCAGGAAAAGCCGGUCUCCCUCUGCAUUGUACCUUGGAAAACAGAAAACUCGACUGAUGUGGGAACAAACAGGCUUUAACCUGAAGUUCAUUCUCCAACUCGGCGACUUCUCAGCAUCUACACGCAUCCCGCCCCGCCACACACUCCCGGGCACCUAGAUUGGGAACAUAAUGGCCUUUUCUCAACCAAUUAUCUCAUGGCUGAAGCAAUAACUUGUUUGUAGAUAUGCCAAUUAAGGUUUUCAUCCCCUUAACCUACCUUUAAAAGAAAAGCAGCACCAUCUACAGCAAAACGGCAGCAGUUUAAUCACCGGGUCCCCACAACCCCCUCCCUCCCCACCACGCACUGCUAAGCCUUUACUAAUUUUAAGCCAGUGACAGAGUCUCCUCUGGAAACUAUGUUUUCACAUCGCAGGUCGGCAUCCUCUUGCCCUGUUCCAAUAAAAUACACACAGUCACAGAUAAAGCAAAUAUUUCUCUGGGAAGGAAAAAACAAACAAACAAAAAACCUCCAGAACCACUGUAUUUUAAAUAUAAGCACCAUGAUCCAGCCAACAAAUUUCUCCAGUGGCCGCCACUGAGUCAACUGGUCCUCCCUGGGGUUCAUAUUCAUUGUGCAACAAGGAAAUCACAGCCUCAAAGUCUCUCCUGGAGCUCACAGCCUGCUUGGUCUAUGCCUACACUGCUGGAAGGAAAGGUGCCAGGAGGAACAUCAAGCAUUCAAUCAACAAACAGUGGGUGCACCUCCCAGGUACCAGCACUAUGUGAGGUAGCAGGUACCUUGGUGAAUAACACAGAUACGGUCACCGGUGCCCUCUUCGAGUUUACAGUUCAAGGAGGGAAGACAUGCAAUCAACCCACGAACCCACCAACCAAUCUAUCAUUAAAGCAACCAUGUAAUACAAGCUGCAAGUGAAAGAGAAAAGGAAUGGAGUGAGAAAGAGUAAGGGCGGCUGGUGGCACUUGACCUGAGAUUUGAGGGAUGAUGGGGAACAGACCUUGGACAAGGGAGGAGAGGAUCAUGCAGAGGUUACGGCCCUCUUGUGCCAAGAAGGACGGAACUUGUGACCCCAGAACAGAAAGAAAGCCAACUGGGCUUGACGGGAGGUGGCGGGGAAAGAGUAGAUCAAGAGGAAGCUGAGUGGUAGGGAGAACCAGAAGGUCAAGGUCAGAAGUCGGGAUUUUGUUCUGAACGCAGUGUGAAGCCACUUCAAGGUCUCAAACGGGGGAUGACAUACCCUCCUGUCUCCAUGUCCUUCUCUCUCAAAGACACACACACACACAC